rnacentral:misc_RNA from 1 species
GUCCCGCUCGCCGCGCCGGCGCGGGAGAGCGACAGCGCGAGCAG